GUCAAACAAACAGAUGUGCAAAUAGACCUCAUGGACUGGAAGAUGGAAAAUGUUGAAAAAGAGCUAGUGCAGCCUAUCAACGCUCAGGAGACCUGCAUCAUGAAUCUGCUUAAAUCAGUUUCGGAGCCAGUUGCCUUAAUGCUGACACCAGGUUAGGACAGUAUUUUGGUCAUGUUGCUUAUGGCUUUUUAUUUUCUAUCUUAUUAUGUGAACUAUAAUUGUAAGGGUGUUAAGAAAAAUCGUCGGAUUCUCACACUGAGAAAUGUACUAAAGUAGUUGUUGAUUAAAAAUAAUGCUUGAACUACAUUAACAACCCGUGAUUAACUUGUGCCAAUUUUGGCUGUAUGUAUAUAGGUAGGUAUGAAUAAAUUGAAUCCAUGCUUCGUAAUGCGCUACUAGGAUGCUGACGCCUAAACCCUGAAGCUCCCUUCAGCUCGGAGAACAGAAGAGGACCAGUGGCCUAGUGAGGGGGAUAAGGGGGCAUCAGGGGAGAGCGCUACUUACAAAGAGGCGCCAAAUGGUCCGCAAAACAAAAAAUUACUGCAUAAUUUUUAUUUUUAUUAUAAUUGAUUUCUGUACAAUAUAUUUUAAAUUUAGUGCCAGUGUAAUAUUAAAUAAAUGAUAAUUCGUAAAUAAAAAGGAAAAAAGUAGUGUUCCUUUUUUAGUGUUCAUACUAGUAUAAAUCAAACUUAUUUUUUUUUUUUAAAAUACUUCUUUAUAAAUAUGUAAAACAGAUAAUAGGUCUCUUUUAAACUAAUUCUAGACGAUCGUAUUUUUCGAAAUCUACUCGUUUUUUUUUUCAAUUACAUUUUUUGUCUCAAAUUUAAAGCCUAGCUUGAGCCUUUUGACUAUAUUUAUUUCUUAAUUGCUAAUAUAUUUUACAUAUAAUAUUAUAUGGUUUACGAAUGGGGGGGGGGGGGCGCUAAAAAGGUAUUUGCCCCGGAUGCGAGCUAAAAUCGCUGCGCCAUUGAAGAGGACAUACCCACAUCAACACGUGAGAAUAGCCAGGGCCAAGUUCGUCAAUCUGGUUAUGCUAAUGUAGUUCUGGCUUUACUGAAACACUGAUAUUAAAACCAAAUUUGUCGAUACGCCCUAAAAAAAAAACAAAAAAAAAAUACUUGCUCGUUCACUGCGCUCGUGAAACUACUUCCAACCAAAUCAAAUACAAAUACCCACGAAAUAUCAAGCCAUAAUUAUCAUGCUUCUUGUAAUAUGGAUGUGCUUAUGCAAAAGUGCCUCAUACAAAAUUUAUAAAAAAAAAAAAAAAGGUUGUCUGUAAAGUCGGUUUACUGACGCUAGUUGAACGUGACAACGUCAUAAGAAAAUAUUGAUGGAAUGGUUUCAUUUUUCAAAAGAAAAUUUUAAUUUUAUUUGUUUGAUUCAUAUUUUAUAUGGACAAUUGACAUCACAUUCACUUUUCACUGAACUUCAUACUUGACGAAAACAUGUAAAUGUAUUAUUGUAUAGCAGCUGUUCACGCGGAUGCAUCGCUCACUCAAGUAGGAGAGAGACAGAUGUCGAACGCUGCCGAACGCGGAGACCGAUUGUGCCUCUUUGUCGCUUGUUGCGCACUCUCGCUUGCACUUCAAGCCUUAAAUGGAACGCCUCAAUGAGUCACGUUUUUUCGUGCGUGCAGCCGGCUCCAUCGAAUUAUAAGACGUUGUCAUGUCAAAAAAUAUAUUCUUUUACUGCAGCAUAAACACAUCUGUAUUCGCCGGGCUUACCCAUGGUACAGAGUUGAAGCCCUUAUUACCAAAGCCCACGGAACUGGGUCCGCGCUUACGUUGGACUUGCCAAUAAUAUAUUUUGCCGGAGCUCCUUACAUGUAUAAUAUGUAAUUAUAUAGUUGUAUCAAUGAUGUGAUACGAUGUUAUUGAGUUGACUGAAUUCCGUAGUGGUAUAAGAUUUAAGUGAAUAAUUUAUGAAAUGGUCUAUCAAAGAUUUCGUGUUGGAAUUCACAUAAACGAUAUAAUCUUCAUUGAUUAAAACUAUACUACAUUAAUUAAUAAAUGUGCCGUAAAGGAAUAAACAUCACAUUUGGUCUUUAUUGACUGUCAGUUUCUAAGACUAUCGAAAGAGACGAACCAAUAGCGUUUUCUCUUUCCCGCUGUUUAUUUUUUUCAGCUACAAUAGUUUGCCGAAUAAAUCACUUAACCUAAAUCACUAUUGAGUUCAGCCCCCGAAAUAUGAGGCUUUAAUGUCUUGUCAAUGGUUUUUUAAUAAUUUAGUUGUUUGGAUAAAAUUAUUGUGACCGAAUACAUUUUUACUGAGGUCUCCUCAUAAUUCAG